AGUGAACGCUGGCGGUAGGCCUAACACAUGCAAGUCGAACGGCAGCACAGUAAGAGCUUGCUCUUACGGGUGGCGAGUGGCGGACGGGUGAGGAAUACAUCGGAAUCUACUUUUUCGUGGGGGAUAACGUAGGGAAACUUACGCUAAUACCGCAUACGACCUACGGGUGAAAGCAGGGGAUCUUCGGACCUUGCGCGAUUGAAUGAGCCGAUGUCGGAUUAGCUAGUUGGCGGGGUAAAGGCCCACCAAGGCGACGAUCCGUAGCUGGUCUGAGAGGAUGAUCAGCCACACUGGAACUGAGACACGGUCCAGACUCCUACGAGAGGCAGCAGUGGGGAAUAUUGGACAAUGGGCGCAAGCCUGAUCCGGCCAUACCGCGUGGGUGAAGAAGGCCUUCGGGUUGUAAAGCCCUUUUGUUGGGAAAGAAAAGCAGCAGGUUAAUACCCCGCUGUUCUGACGGUACCCAAAGAAUAAGCACCGGCUAACUUCGUG
rnacentral:rRNA from 1 species